rnacentral:lncRNA from 1 species
CUUUUUUUUUUUUUCCAGUGUUUUUUGCAAUAUCUGGUUUAGUUUUAGUAAAUCAAUUAUUAUGCCAGACAUUUCAACUGUAGCCUAGCAAUGUCGAACAAAACAAAAGCAGUUUCAGCUUUUGUUAAAAAAAAAAAAAAAAAAAAAAAAAAAGUUUAAUUUUACUAUCAGGGUUGGCAGAUCAGGAAGAAUAUAAGAGGCAAGAUGAUUUGCCGAAUUCUGUAAAACAAAACUCACCAACAUACAAAGUUUACCACUUCUUUUAUUCUGCUGCACACUUCUAUUUUUUGUAUAUGUGUUCCUUGGCAAUCUUAAAAUGUUAGUUACUGUCACUUACCUGUUUAUUGUAUUCCAACAUAUUUUUUGUGUGUAGGUAUUUGUUCUUUCAAUUAUGCAGUGACUAUACUUUGUGAAGAAUUGGAUGCUGCAUUGCAGGCAAAAACAUUUGAAAUUAAAAACCAGACUAAAAUUGUAAGAUUAUUAGUAACAACUAUAGCACAUUUCCAGCUGUGUAUAGUUACACACAUACGCUUCAUGCUUCAUUACAUAACAGUGUGCAUAAUAUACACAGCUGAAUGAAAUUAUUCAAAGGAACAAGUAAAACAGAUGCCAGUCUUUCUUUUCAGCUCACCUUGCAACAGGCUGCUCUGACACUCCUCUCCACUCCCAUCAGCUACUGUGCUGAAUAUAUUUCACGUUGCACCUGCUGGUGCCUGUUGCUUAGGAGCCAUGAAAUUCCACAUAAACUCAGUUUUUUAACAGAAACAUGAAAUCCAGAGGAAAUAAAGCUGAGAAAGAGGUCUACAGAAUAAAUUCUCCAGAACAAUAUCAGAUAACCUCUCUGAACCAUCAGGAAGCCUGGCUGCUAGAAACAGGACUGCAGGGGGUGAAGAAGUCUCACUGCUCUGGAUGUUCUUCUGGGAAGUCUCUCUCAGACAGCAUAAGGAGUGUGCACCUGCAACCCAGCUUCAUGGGCCAUUGAGUCACUUUCCCCUGGCAGAGAAAGGAUUCCGGUGUAGGGCUGGUGGUUCAUAAACGUGCUCCCCAGAAGCUGCAGAAUCACCACAACUUGUUUUCUGUCCUAUUUCCCUACUAUCAUAAAUGCAGAGACUAGUGCUGUUGUGCUCUGCCAACAAGAUAGGUGAGAUGAAGUUAGGCAGGAGUCCUGGGUGCACAUGUGGAGGAGGAGAUAAACAAUUCCACACUGUUAUGACUUGUGC